UUAGGAAUUUUGCACAAUGGGGGAAACCCUGAUGCAGCGACGCCGCGUGGAGGAUGAAUGCCUUCGGGUUGUAAACUCCUUUUAUGUUGGAACAAAUCCCGACUUGUCGGAAAUGAGUGUACAACAUGAAUAAGCACCAACAAACUGCGUGCCAGAAGUCUCGGUUAUGCGUAGGGUGCAAGCGUUACCCGGUUUUACUGGGCGUAAAGAGAAGCGUAGGCUUUCAGAUAAGUUCCUUGUUAAAUGAUAUUGCUUAACAAUGUUUGUGCAUGGAAAACUGUCUGAAUAGAGAAAUAGAGGGGGAAGUGGAAUUUGUGGAGUAGCGGUAAAAUGCGUUGAUACCACAAGGAACACCAGGGGCGAAGGCGACUUCCUGGCUAUUUUCUGACGCUAAGGCUCGAAAGCGUGGGUAGCAAAACGG
rnacentral:rRNA from 1 species